AUCUGUGCUCCGUAACCGCUGUCCGCACGGUGGCGCCACAUACGUACUUGUCACCCCAUGGCCCUCCCUGAAGAGCUGGUGACCUUACCAUCAAAGCCCCGGGAUACCAUGGAUCGUCCUCUUUGGCGGCUUCUGGACACUGAGCCACUAGAGGGCAUCGGUCCCGGUAGGGGCGGACGGCAAGCUCCAGGCUACCGCCACGCUCUCUAUGGCGCCCAGAAGGGGGCGGGGUGGCGACCGCAGUCGCUUUGGCUGAGGCUCUGCGGUGAAGGGAGGGGGGGCGUUUUACGUCAUCAAUCUGCGCCACUUGACUCCCAAGACCCUAUCUUUGGAGUGGGAAGUGAGGUGUUGGAAGUAGGUCGCUUUCUGAUGAAUUAAGUGUCAGUGAAUUGAGACCGGAGGGAAUCUGGCCACUAGAGGCUGGUACUUGCGCCCCAAACCCCAUCUCCGGCAGACAGACUGUCCGAGGUAAUUGUCGGCCACGAGUGCACAUUCUGAAAACAGGAGAUUUUAGUUCCUAAAAAUGGGAAGAACUUACAUUGUAGAAGAGACUGUUGGCCAGUAUCUUUCAAACAUAAAUCUCGAAGGAAAGGCUUUUGUCUCUGGCCUUUUAAUAGGACAGUGUUCUUCACAAAAGGAUUAUGUGAUUCUUGCCACUAGAACGCCCCCCAAAAAGGAACAAAGUGAGAACCUCAAACAUCCCAAAGCUAAGUUGGAUAACUUGGAUGAAGAAUGGGCCACAGAACAUGCCUACCAGGUAUCCAGAAUGCUACCAGGGGGACUUUUAGUUCUUGGAGUAUUUAUUAUUACUACUUUAGAACUGGCAAAUGAUUUUCAAAAUGCCCUGCGUAGACUAAUGUUUGCUGUGGAAAAGUCUAUAAAUAGAAAGAGAUUGUGGAAUUUUACAGAGGAGGAGGUCUCAGAACGAGUGACACUUCACAUUUGUGCUUCUACAAAAAAAAUAUUUUGUCGAACUUAUGAUAUCCAUGAUCCAAAGAGUUCAGCAAGACCAGCAGAUUGGAAGUAUCAAAGUGGAUUAUCAUCCUCAUGGCUUUCUUUAGAGUGUACAGUUCACAUUAAUAUUCAUAUCCCACUUUCUGCUACUUCUGUCAGCUAUACUCUGGAGAAAAAUACAAAGAAUGGACUUACACGCUGGGCCAAGGAAAUAGAAAAUGGUGUUUAUUUGAUUAAUGGACAAGUUAAAGAUGAAGAUUGUGACCUAUUAGAAGGACAGAAAAAAUCUUCUAGAGGAAAUACUCAAGCAACUAGUCAUUCUUUUGAUGUCAGAGUGCUAACGCAAUUGCUCCUGAAUUCAGACCACAGAUACACAGCCACAGUCCAGAUAUGUAGCGGUUCUGUAAACCUUAAGGGUGCUGUGAAAUGCAGAGCUUAUAUCCACAGCAGUAAACCCAAAGUUAAAGAUGCUGUGCAGGCAGUAAAGAGGGAUAUAUUGAACACAGUUGCUGAUCGUUGUGAAAUACUGUUUGAGGAUCUGCUUUUGAAUGAAAUUCCAGAAAAAAAAGAUAGUGAAAAAGAGUUCCACAUCCUCCCUCAUCGAGUCUUUGUUCCCCUUCCUGGAUCCACUGUAAUGUUGUGUGAUUACAAAUUUGAUGAUGAGCCGGCUGAAGAAAUCAGGGACCAUUUUAUGGAGAUGUUGGAUCAUACAAUUCAAAUAGAAGAUUUGAAAAUUGCAGAGGAAAUAAACACAGUCUAGUAUAGAGAUGGAUUAACAGUAGAAAGAGUUUAAUAUUACAAGAACAAAGGAAGCAAAACAGCAAUUUGGAAAGUUUAGCUUGUAUGAGUUCCUCUAUGAAUAGUCAAGCUUCAUUGGACAACACAGAUGAUGAACAACCAAAACAGCCAAUUAAAACUACAAUGUUACUGAAAAUUCAGCAGAACAUAGGUGUGAUUGCAGCAUUUACAGUUGCAGUCCUUGCUGCUGGUAUCUCCUUUCAUUACUUCAGUGAUUAGGGUGAGGCACAAAGAGUUUCUUGAUCAUCCAGAGAACAUUGACAGAUAAUUAUGAAUAAUAAAUAUGUUAAUCCAUCUGUAUUUAAAGCAGUAGCAGCCAGAUCUGCUGCCAUGAUGCCUAUUUGGUGUGUUUCUCAUUAAAAUGAAAUCACAAGCUGCCUUGUUUAGCCUGCUUUACAUUGUAGGUGGCCCACAUUUCCAGAAAUAAAGUUAUGCAUCUAGAUGGAAGCUGCAUGUAACAAAUCAUUAUUAUCUAUUUUUUAAAAGGUUCAAAAUGAUGGGAUAUGAUCAUAGAUUUUAGUCUUACUAAUCUGAAUCACAUACUAAUCAGGACAUUAAAAAGUUGAACAGAGGCAUGGUGGCUCACACCUAUAAUCUCAACGCUUUGGGAGGCUGAGGCAGGAGGAUCACCUGGGGCUAGGAGGGAUUUGGAGACCAGCCCGGAUGACAUAAUGAGAUUCUGUCUCUACUGGAAAAAAAAAAAAAAAAAUUAGCUGGACAUGGUGGCAUGCAGCUCUAGUCCCAACUACUUGCAACUACUUGGAGACUGAAGCGGGAAGAUCACUUGAGCCCAGGAGUUUGAGACCGCAGCAAGCUAUGAUCACACUAUACUCCAGCCUGGGUGACAAAAUGAGACCUUGUCUCUAAAAUAAAUAAGUAAAUUUAAAAAGUAAAAAACAAAUAGUAAUUUGAACAGUCAAUGUUGAUGCAACGUCUUAAUAAUAGAGCACCAGGAGAAAUUUCUACCAAGUGAAACAACAACCUUACAAUAAGCUCAUCUUCUAGGAGUUUUCUAACGUGCACUCAUUUCCUAUAUACUGUGUGUUUUAUUCUGAUCAAGGGGUAGGGAACCUUUCCAGAGAGGUCCCAUUAGUAAGAAAUGACAUAAAAUAUGUGCUUUCUCAGGUUACUAUAUAACUGUUUUAGUAUACUUAA